UCCUGAUAAAGCUAAACCCAUCGUGAGGUGGGGACGGAAAGCCGCUGAUCUUGAAAAAAGAAAGCCGGGUUACCUCG
rnacentral:ncRNA from 1 species